rnacentral:rRNA from 1 species
CUCAGGCCAUAAUGACGAGACUAUAUUUUCUACCAACCAUACUGCUGAUGAUCCAUUUGAUCUUGAUUCUAACAUCCGGCACCCUAGUUGGUCAUGGUUGCACCUAUGACCCCAACGGCGUUCCAAUGGAUUGCCCAGAGACGAAUCCAGGACCUGGGUGUUCGCGUCCGCCGUGUGGCCCAUGACAACGGAUAGUUAUGAAAUGUGUCUAGACUUUUGUGAGAUCGCUCCGAAUUUGACGUCAAGUGCACGGGUUUGUAUCCAGUUCGACAAGAUCUUUAUGUACCCCAUCCAUUUAAAUGUAAU